AUUGAACGCUGGCGGCAGGCCUAACACAUGCAAGUCGAACGAGUGGCGGACGGGUGAGUAAUGUCUGGGAACCUGCCCGAUGGAGGGGGAUAACUACUGGAAAAGGUAGCUAAUACCGCAUACCAUCGGUUGGGCCCAGGUGGGAUUAGCUAGUGGGUGGGGUAACGGCUAACCUAGGCGACGAUCCCUACCUGGUCUGAGAGGCUGACCAGCCACACUGGAACUGAGACACGUGCCAGACUCCUACGGGAGGCAGCAGUGGGGAAUAUUGCACAAUGGGCGCAAGCCUGAUGCAGCCAUGCCGCGUGUAUGAAGAAGGCUUUCGGGUUGUAAAGUACUUUCAGCGGGGAGGCGUUACCCGCAGAAGAAGCACCGGCUAACUCCGUGCCAGCCGCCGCGGUAAUAC
rnacentral:rRNA from 1 species